UACGUAGGUGGCGAGCGUUGUCCGGAUUUAUUGGGGUUAAAGGGUGCGUAGGCGGCCCUAUAAGUCAGUGGUGAAAUAUCGCAGCUUAACUGUGAGGGUGCCAUUGAUACUGUAGGGCUUGAGUGAAUUUGAGGUAGGCGGAAUUGACGGUGUAGCGGUGAAAUGCUUAGAUAUCGUCAAGAACACCGAUAGUGAAGACAGCUUACCAAGCUUCAACUGACGCUGAGGCACGAAAGUGUGGGGAUCAAACAGG
rnacentral:rRNA from 1 species